AAAAAAUGAAAAGGUCCAAACUCCUGGUGCAGAGGGACAAAAAAUAAGAAAAGAAGGAGGAGGACAAGAACAAAGCCCAGUGUAGAGAUACACUCCAGAAAUGUUUGCUGAGACCCUCCCCUCUUCAAGAAAGCUCAGCUGAUCCCCCAGGUUCACCUCUCUCUGAACCUUCUGCAGGUGAAGGGACAUUUAGUACAUCUAGUACUUCAGCAACCAGUGAAACACAGACCGGGGAC